AGUGAACGCUGGCGGUAGGCCUAACACAUGCCAGUCGAACGGCAGCACAGUAAGAGCUUGCUCUUACGGGUGGCGAGUGGCGGACGGGUGAGGAAUACAUCGGAAUCUACUUUUUCGUGGGGGAUAACGUAGGGAAACUUACGCUAAUACCGCAUACGACCUACGGGUGAAAGCAGGGGAUCUUCGGACCUUGCGCGAUUGAAUGAGCCGAUGUCGGAUUAGCUAGUUGGCGGGGUAAAGGCCCACCAAGGCGACGAUCCGUAGCUGGUCUGAGAGGAUGAUCAGCUACACUGGAACUGAGACACGGUCCAGACUCCUACGGGAGGCAGCAGUGGGGAAUAUUGGACAAUGGGCGCAAGCCUGAUCCAGCCAUACCGCGUGGGUGAAGAAGGCCUUCGGGUUGUAAAGCCCUUUUGUUGGGAAAGAAAAGCAGCAGGUUAAUACCCCGCUGUUCUGACGGUACCCAAAGAAUAAGCACCGGCUAACUUCGUG
rnacentral:rRNA from 1 species